rnacentral:rRNA from 1 species
GUCUUUAAAUAUAAUUACAAUCUUGGGCUACACGAAACUAGAUGAGCUAAAUACUUUCCCUUAUUAGAGGGCUUGUUUAGUGUGGCAUCACUAAUUAAUAGGAGUAUUUAGGGGUGAAAGGCCUUUCAAAUCUAGUGAUAUCUUGAUGUUAAGGAAAUAUAUUUAGUAUAUAAAACAAUCCAAAAAUGGUUAGGUUUUUGGAAAUUAUAAAUUCAAAUUCAAAAUUGAUAGGCAUAAUAAAAUAUACUAUACACUUUAUUAUAACAUUUCUCGAUUAAAUUUUAUAAAUAUUUACUUAUCAUUUAGAUGUAAUAACGUAUAUUAAUUUAUUAUGAAUACAUUAGUAUAAUUUUUAAAUUAAAUAGAGGAAUUCGGCAAAAAAAAUACUCGACUGUUUAUCAAAAACAUAGCCUUAAGUAUUUAAUUUAAGGUUACCUCUGCUCAAUGAUUCUUAAAUAGCCGCAGUACCCUGACUGUGCAAAGGUAGCAUAAUCAUUUGGCUUAUAAUUGAAGUCUGGCAUGAACGAGAAUUCGGGUAUUAGCUAUCUUAAUUAAAUAUUUUAAAAUUCCUUAAUAAGUGAAAAUGCUUAUGAUUAGAAAAUAGACGAGAAGACCCUAGAAAUUUUUAUGCAAUUUUCAAUUGAGCAUUUUGUUGGGGCGACAAGGUAGCAUUUAACCUACUUUUAUUAUACGAAAUUUAUUAAUUGGUUAAUUAAAUUACUCUAGGGAUAACAGCAUAAUAUUAAAAAGUUUGUGACCUCGAUGUUGGACUAGGGAAGAAGUUACUUAGAAGGUAACCUCGUAUGCUCUGUUCGAGCAAUUUACUCCUACAUGAUCUGAGUUCAGACCGG